rnacentral:rRNA from 1 species
GACGAACGCUGGCGGCGUGCCUAAUACAUGCAAGUUGAGCGAUGAAGAUUGGUGCUUGCACCAAUUUGAAGAGCAGCGCACGGGUGAGUAACGCGUGGGGAAUCUGCCUUUGAGCGGGGGACAACAUUUGGAAACGAAUGCUAAUACCGCAUAACAACUUUAAACAUAAGUUUUAAGUUUGAAAGAUGCAAUUGCAUCACUCAAAGAUGAUCCCGCGUUGUAUUAGCUAGUUGGUGAGGUAAAGGCUCACCAAGGCGAUGAUACAUAGCCGACCUGAGAGGGUGAUCGGCCACAUUGGGACUGAGACACGGCCCAAACUCCUACGGGAGGCAGCAGUAGGGAAUCUUCGGCAAUGGACGAAAGUCUGACCGAGCAACGCCGCGUGAGUGAAGAAGGUUUUCGGAUCGUAAAACUCUGUUGGUAGAGAAGAACGUUGGUGAGAGUGGAAAGCUCAUCAAGUGACGGUAACUACCCAGAAAGGGACGGCUAACUACG